UACGUAGGGCGCAAGCGUUAUCCGGAAUUAUUGGGCGUAAAGAGCUCGUAGGCGGUUUGUCGCGUCUGCCGUGAAAGUCCGGGGCUCAACUCCGGAUCUGCGGUGGGUACGGGCAGACUAGAGUGAUGUAGGGGAGACUGGAAUUCCUGGUGUAGCGGUGAAAUGCGCAGAUAUCAGGAGGAACACCGAUAGGCGAAGGCAGGUCUCUGGGCAUUAACUGACGCUGAGGAGCGAAAGCAUGGGGAGCGAACAGG
rnacentral:rRNA from 1 species